AUUUAAGUGCUUCGAAAUUAAGUCCUAGCUUAAAAAGUAAGAACUUCUCGUUUAAAAAAGAUGAAUUUACUUUGCGUUAGCUCACUCGUGCUUCUCGGGCUCAUCCUUUUGGUGGAUGUUAGUCAAUGUGCUCCAUUCGAUUUUGAUCCAGGAUUUCAUGUAGAUGCGGGUCCACUCGGUAAAAUUGGCGCCCAAGGACAAUUGCAUGUUGGCGUAUAAAUUGUUAAGCUUAUAUUAACUAAAAAAAUGCAAUGUAAAAAUAAAUAAUUUUGAAAAUAUGCAUAGAUCCAAAGAUCCAUAUAAUAAACAUUUUAUGUUCGUUUGUG